AGCAGCCGCGGUAAUUCCAGCUCCAAUAGCGUAUAUUAAAGUUGUUGCAGUUAAAAAGCUCGUAGUUGAAUUUCGAGAUCGGUUUAUUGGUCGUGCUAUUGUACGUACUGGUAUUACCGGUUUCUCCUUUCUGACGAACCUUAAUGCCAUUAAUUUGGUGUUUUGGGAAAUCAGGACUGUUACUUUGAAAAAAUUAGAGUGUUUAAAGCAGGCUCACGCUUGAAUACAUUAGCAUGGAAUAACGGAAUAGGACGUUUGAUUCUAUUUUGUUGGUUUCUAGGAUCGACGUAAUGAUUAAUAGGGAUAGUUGGGGGCAUUAGUAUUCAAUUGUCAGAGGUGAAAUUCUUGGAUUUAUUGAAGACUAACUACUGCGAAAGCAUUUGCCAAGGAUGUUUUCAUUAAUCAAGAACGAAAGUUAGGGGAUCGAAGACGAUCAGAUACCGUCGUAGUCUUAACCAUAAACUAUGCCGACUAGGGAUCGGAUGAUGUUAAUUUUUAAUGACUCAUUCGGCGCCUU
rnacentral:rRNA from 1 species